GCCCUCGUGGCCUAAGGGGAUAAGGCAUCGGUCUCCUAAACCGGGGAUUCCGGGUUCGAAUCCCGUCGAGGGUA
rfam:Ixodes scapularis strain Wikel colony gcontig_1108379572152, whole genome shotgun sequence.